CAGUGAAAUUGAACUCGCUGUGAAGAUGCAGUGUACCCGCGGCAAGACGGAAAGACCCCGUGAACCUUUACUAUAGCUUGACACUGAACAUUGAGCCUUGAUGUGUAGGAUAGGUGGGAGGCUUUGAAGUGUGGACGCCAGUCUGCAUGGAGCCGACCUUGAAAUACCACCCUUUAAUGUUUGAUGUUCUAACGUGGACCCGUAAUCCGGGUUGCGGACAGUGUCUGGUGGGUAGUUUGACUGGGGCGGUCUCCUCCUAAAGAGUAACGGAGGAGCACGAAGGUUGGCUAAUCCUGGUCGGACAUCAGGAGGUUAGUGCAAUGGCAUAAGCCAGCUUGACUGCGAGCGUGACGGCGCGAGCAGGUGCGAAAGCAGGUCAUAGUGAUCCGGUGGUUCUGAAUGGAAGGGCCAUCGCUCAACGGAUAAAAGGUACUCCGGGGAUAACAGGCUGAUACCGCCCAAGAGUUCAUAUCGACGGCGGUGUUUGGCACCUCGAUGUCGGCUCAUCACAUCCUGGGGCUGAAGUAGGUCCCAAGGGUAUGGCUGUUCGCCAUUUAAAGUGGUACGCGAGCUGGGUUUAGAACGUCGUGAGACAGUUCGGUCCCUAUCUGCCGUGGGCGCUGGAGAACUGAGGGGGGCUGCUCCUAGUACGAGAGGACCGGAGUGGACGCAUCACUGGUGUUCGGGUUGUCAUGCCAAUGGCACUGCCCGGUAGCUAAAUGCGGAAGAGAUAAGUGCUGAAAGCAUCUAAGCACGAAACUUGCCCCGAGAUGAGUUCUCCCUGAGACUUAGAGUCUCCUGAAG
rnacentral:rRNA from 1 species